CUGCGAGAUCCAGUCGAUUGAUGUCAACCCCAGAAAAGAGAUGCGCCACCAAAGCCUUACAGGCAUUGAAACUAUAUCCGAAAGCUGCCAAAGAGGCCUUAGUGACCUCAUCCUUGAACUCCUCGGAGCCUUGUACUCGACAACUUUCAACUUGACCUUGGCGACUGCCUCGGCGAUUACCUUUGCCUCGUCAACUUCUGCCCA
rnacentral:lncRNA from 1 species